rnacentral:tRNA from 1 species
GGCAUCGUUGUGGGAGUGGGGCGACGAAACGGCCUGCAAAGCCGUCUAGGUCGGUUCGAUUCCGACCCUCGCCUCCA